UAGCGAAGGGGGCUAGCGUUGCUCGGAAUCACUGGGCGUAAAGGGCGCGUAGGCGGCGUUUAAGUCGGGGUGAAGCCUGUGGCUCAACCACAGGAUGGCCUUCGAUAUCGUGGACGCUUGAGUGAUGGUAGAGGUUGGUGGAACUGCGAGUGUAGAGGUGAAAUUCGUAGAUAUUCGCAAGAACACCGGUGGCGAAGGCGGCCAACUGGACCAUUACUGACGCUGAGGCGCGAAAGCGUGGGGAGCAAACAGG
rnacentral:rRNA from 1 species